UCUAGGUGGCGGACGGGUGAGUAACGCGUGGGUAACCUGCCUUUACACAGGGGGAUAACAGUUAGAAAUGACUGCUAAUACCGCAUAAGCGCACAGUAUCGCAUGAUACAGUGUGAAAACUCCGGUGGUGUAAGAUGGACCCGCGUCUGAUUAGCUAGUUGGUGAGGUAACGGCCCACCAAGGCGACGAUCAGUAGCCGGCCUGAGAGGGUGAACGGCCACAUUGGGACUGAGACACGGCCCAAACUCCUACGGGAGGCAGCAGUAGGGAAUAUUGGACAAUGGGGGAAACCCUGAUCCAACGCGACGCCGCGUGAGUGAAGAAGUAUUUCGGUACGUUAAAGCUCUAUCAGCAGGGAAGAAAUGACGGUACCUGACUAAGAAGCACCGGCUAAAUACGUGCCAGCCGCAGC
rnacentral:rRNA from 1 species